AUUGAACGCUGGCGGCAGGCCUAACACAUGCAAGUCGAGCGAGUGGCGGACGGAUGAGUAAUGUCUGGGAAUCUGCCUGAUAGAGGGGGUUAACUACUGGAAACGGUGGCCACUACCGCAUACCAUCAGAUGGGCCCACAUGGCAUUAGCGUGUUGGUGGGGCAAAGGAUCACCAAGGCGACGAUCUCUAGCUGGUCUGAGAGGAUGAUCAGCCACACUGGGACGGAGAAACGGUCCAGACUCCUACGGGAGGCAGCAGUGGGGAAUAUUGCACAAUGGGCGCAAGCCUGAUGCAGCCAUGCCGCGUGUAUGAAGAAGGCCUUCGGGUUGUAAAGUACUUUCAGUGGGGAGGCGUUACCCGAAGAAAAAGCACCGGCUAACUCCGUGCCAGCAGCCGCGGUAAUUC
rnacentral:rRNA from 1 species